rnacentral:rRNA from 1 species
UACGUAUGUCCCGAGCGUUAUCCGGAUUUAUUGGGCGUAAAGCGAGCGCAGACGGUUGGUUAAGUCUGAUGUGAAAGCCCGGAGCUCAACUCCGGAAAGGCAUUGGAAACUGGUUAACUUGAGUGCAGUAGAGGUAAGUGGAACUCCAUGUGUAGCGGUGGAAUGCGUAGAUAUAUGGAAGAACACCAGCGGCGAAGGCGGCUUACUGGACUGUAACUGACGUUGAGGCUCGAAAGUGUGGGUAGCAAACAGGAUUAGAUACCCUGGUAGUCCACACCGUAAACGAUGAACACUAGGUGUUAGGAGGUUUCCGCCUCUUAGUGCCGAAGCUAACGCAUUAAGUGUUCCGCCUGGGGAGUACGACCGCAAGGUUGAA